UCGUACUAUAUCAUAAAUAAAUAGAAAAAAACGUCGUGACUAAAUACUACAAAAAUGAAGCUUGUUGCAAUUGCUGUCGUUCUUGCCUUUGGCUUUGUGGAACCCCAUGGCUACCUCAUGGAACCCUUGGCCAGGACCUCCAUACAUUUGGACCCCAAUCAACCAUACAACCCACCUUAUUGGUAUGACAACAAAGGAGUCUGGUGCAAUAAUGUUCAUCAAGAUCUCCAAUAUAGUCAGUGUGGAAGCGUGGAGAGGCCGCUGGUAACUACGACGCUUCCCAAGGUGGUAUUUACGACAAAGGGGUUCUUACCGGCAAUUACACUUCGGGAUCUAUAAUUGAAAUCAAAGCAGGCCUUGACAACGCCCAUUUUGGUCACUUUCAAAUGGAGCUUUGCGCCCAGGAGCAAGAGACCAACAACUGCUUCAACCUCCUUCCAGUCGUCUCGGCCUCGCAGCCGUUGAGAGGAGAAUACCAAGUCUGCAUCCCGUUCGACAACCCUGCACCACCUAAUGACAUUGUCACCGUCCGCCUCCAGCUCCCAGCCGGAGUUAGGUGCAGUAGGUGUACCCUCCGGUGGACCUACAGGACCUCGUAUCCUAAUGGAGCACCAGACUGGAACAAUUGCUAUACUGCAGCUCCAGCCCAAACCUUCCGGAACUGUGCGGACAUCAGCAUCAAUUAAAAACAGAAUAUAAAAAUGAACACAAAUUAUUGUAUCCCCAGUACAAUCUGUACACAAUGUGUAAACAAUUUUAUCAAUAUUCAAAUAAAAAGCAAGAUAAAUAACUGCAGAUAUUUAAUUA